rnacentral:lncRNA from 1 species
GGAAUACUACUUGCCAACUCGUCCAAGCCCUCCCAAAGGCGCCUCUUAACCUCCUCAUCUUGGCCUGCUUAAGGCGCGUAAGCGCUAAUGACAUUGAGGACGGAUCCACAAAUAACCAACUUAAUAGACAUUAACCUAUCAUUCACUCGCCUAACCUCAACCACGGACUCCCUAAGAUCCAUAUCCACCAAGAUUCUCACUCCAUUCUUACCCCUUACGACCCCAGAAUACCACAACUUAAACCCGUCUAUAUUCCUCGCCUUCGA